CAGUAGGGAAUCUUCCACAAUGGACGAAAGUCUGAUGGAGCAACGCCGCGUGAGUGAAGAAGGGUUUCGGCUCGUAAAACUCUGUUGUUAAAGAAGAACAUAUCUGAGAGUAACUGUUCAGGUAUUGACGGUAUUUAAUCAGAGAGCCACGGCUAACUACGUGCCNG
rnacentral:rRNA from 1 species